GAGUUUGAUCAUGGCUCAGAACGAACGCUGGCGGCAGGCCUAACACAUGCAAGUCGAACGAGCUGAGACCUUCGGGUCUCGAUGCUAGUGGCGCACGGGUGAGUAACGCGUGGGAACGUACCCUUUAGUACGGAAUAACCCUGGGAAACUAGGGCUAAUACCGGAUACGCCCCUUGGGGGGAAAGGUUUACUGCCGAAGGAUCGGCCCGCGUCUGAUUAGCUUGUUGGUGAGGUAACGGCUCACCAAGGCGACGAUCAGUAGCUGGUCUGAGAGGAUGAUCAGCCACACUGGGACUGAGACACGGCCCAGACUCCUACGGGAGGCAGCAGUGGGGAAUAUUGGACAAUGGGCGCAAGCCUGAUCCAGCCAUGCCGCGUGAGUGAUGACGGCCUUAGGGUUGUAAAGCUCUUUUGUCCGGACGAUAAUGACGGUACCGGAAGAAUAAGCCCCGGCUAA
rnacentral:rRNA from 1 species